GACGAACGCUGGCGGCGUGCUUAACACAUGCAAGUCGAACGGAAAGGCCCUGCUUUUGUGGGGUGCUCGAGUGGCGAACGGGUGAGUAACACGUGAGUAACCUGCCCUUGACUUUGGGAUAACUUCAGGAAACUGGGGCUAAUACCGGAUAGGAGCUCCUGCUGCAUGGUGGGGGUUGGAAAGUUUCGGCGGUUGGUGAUGGACUCGCGUCUUAUCAGCUUGUUGGUGGGGUAGUGGCUUACCAAGGCUUGGAGGGGUAGCCGGCCUGAGAGGGUGACCGGCAAAAUGGGGAAGGAAAAACGGCCGAGACCCAGAGGGGAGCAGCAGGGGGGGAAUAUGGAAAAAGGGGGGGAAGCUGGAAGCAGCACCGCGGGGGGGGGGAGGAGGGCCUGGGGGUUGAACACCGUUUGCGCCGGGGGGGAGGGGGGAGGGAGGGAAGGGGGUAAAGAAGCCCGGGCAAACUACGUC
rnacentral:rRNA from 1 species